rnacentral:lncRNA from 1 species
GGGAGAACCCAUUUAGCUUAUAAUCCCCUUAGCAUUUCUCUAUUUUUCCAAUGUGGGACAAUUGGUUCAUAACAAUCGCCUCCACUUGAGAAUCAACGACCUCGUUGGUCACGGCUGAGCCCAGUUGGUCAUAGUUGGCACCCCUCUUAGGUCCAGGCCACCACUUCUGGUGCACAAGCCACCACUUUGAGUCGUGGCUCCACGCGUGGAUCGAUUUUCGUUGGUCAUGGGCUAUGCCCAGUUGGUCACGACUAGCACCCCUCUUGGGUCCAGGCCACCACUACUGGCAUACAAGCCACCACUACAAGCACAUAGGCCACCAUUACAAGUCACAGCCCAACACACGGCUUUCCACACGUGGAUCGAUCCUCGUUGGUCACGGCUAAGCCCAGUUGGUCAUGGCUGGCAUCUCCACACGUGGAUCGAUCCUUGUUGGUCACGACUAUGCCCAGUUGUUCAUGGCUAGCAUCCCUCUUGGGUCAAGGACACCACUCCUAGCGCGCAGACCACCACUCUAAGUGACGGCCCUACUCGUGGGACUCUCAAUGAAAGCACAAAUGUUAUAAACCAAAUGGGAGAGCCCAAC